UACGUAGGUGGCGAGCGUUGUCCGGAAUUACUGGGUGUAAAGGGCGUGUAGGCGGGGAUGCAAGUCAGAUGUGAAAUUCCGGGGCUCAACCCCGGCACUGCAUCUGAAACUGUGUCUCUUGAGUGCUGGAGAGGAAAGUGGAAUUCCUAGUGUAGCGGUGAAAUGCGUAGAGAUUAGGAGGAACACCAGUGGCGAAGGCGACUUUCUGGACAGUAACUGACGCUGAGGCGCGAGAGCGUGGGGAGCAAACAGGAUUAGAUACCCCCGUAGUCC
rnacentral:rRNA from 1 species